ensembl:lncRNA
GAAAAACAAACCAUGCCCUACAGACACAAUAGAAGAGUGAAGAAAAAGCACAGAAAGGAAACUAGAAUUCAUCUUAAUUUAACAAAAGCCUGCUAUAUUUGCCAACAGUGUGGUAGAGUGUACUUCUGGUUGGUGUUGCCAAAUUGAUGUCUAAAUGCUGAAGUAUGUUCUUGGCCCAGACCACUCCUUUCUGUGAUUUAGGAAAUGGUUUUACUCCUGAAGAGAGCAUUUCUAUGGCUAACAAGUGAAUAUACACGGAUCAGAGCAAGAGCAGUGUUUGAACAGAGCCAGGAUCUUUUCAGCUUCUCCUGCUUCCCUGCCAGUAAGGAACCGGGAGUGCCAAGCAGCUGGGAUGGGACACAGCCAGGACAGCUGACCCCAACCCAUCAAGGGAUAUCCUAUACCAUAUGGCAUCAUGUUCAGCAGUAUAUGCUGGGGAAAGAAGGCGGAGAGAGGGGAUUGCAAGAGUGACACCAUUUGUCUUCACACAUAAUGAGUUCUGCUUUUCUGGAAGUGGCUGAACAUCUGCUUUAUACUGGAAAGUAGCAAAUGAAUUACUCAUUUUGCUUUGCUUUCACACGCAACUUUUUGUUUACCUGUCAAUUGUCUUUAUCUCAAUUAGCAAGUUCUAGCACAUUUUCCUUUCUGACUCUCUCCCCUGUCCUGCAAGGGGAGUGAGCAAAUCGCCAUGUGGCGCUGCUAGAUUUAAACUACCACAUGCUAGACAAAUGUUGGAAAUCCAUGUUUAAAAGGCUAGCUAUACCUAUCAUUAAGUAUAUAAGAAAAUGAUGUGAAACCUCCCUGCUUUAAUGUUAAAGUAAGACAUUUCUAGCCUUUUCUCUUUGUUCUGGACUAAAAUUAAAUUCUCCUAUACCAAUGAAGAAACAACUGUGAAUUAUAAAUACUAUAGCUCUAAUAAAAUUUCCAAUCAAUAUUCUUUUUGUUUUUAACUAAUGUAUAUAAUUUGUAUUCUAUUUCUACUGUUUGCAAAAAUUGUGCUCAGGUCCUUCUCAAAAGAUAUUUUCCUAUUGAUAAACCAUUUUUCUGAAUAUUAACAAUGUAAAAAAAAUUUGCAGAACAGUAGACAAGUUAUGUAGAAACUUUAAUAACCACUCUAAAACUUAAUUUCUAUUUAAUUGCUGUAAGUAUAAACCUGCCAGACGAGACAUAAAAAUAUGCAUUGUGCUACUAGUAAAGUCACUGUAGGAAUUUCAAUUUGAUAUUUGCAAAAUAUGAAAUGAAAUCUGAGUUGACACUGUGACAGCCAAGGAAAAUCAUAAAGAAAUAAUUUAAAUUUCACCAUUUCAUUUGUUUUUUGAAGCUAAAAUCUAUUCUUAUAACCUUGGUGACAAAAGGAAAUGUGGAAAAAAUACAAGAAAUGUUUACAAGUAGAUACUCCACAUGCUAUAAUUCUCUUUAUGGCUGUCAGUUGGAGAGAGUCUUGACCCUGGUGGUUUGAAGCAAUACUAAAGCAGUUUUUUUUUGCUCUAAAACUCUUCUAUAGUGGAGCCUGUGAAAAGUUUAUAAUUCAUUCAUGUUUAACUGUAUUUUUUUUCUUAGAGGAAACUUUUGAAGGUAGGCAAGUUUCAUCUGUAUUUUGGAAGCUAUUAUUAACCUAGGCAGACAAUAAAAGCAGGUGACAGAAACCGAGUUCACGAGCAACUAUGUAGGUACUUCAUACUUAUUAAAAAUACCUGUAUUUUUCUAGGAGUUAAGAAAAAAUGUGCAUGGAAACAUCAUCUCCAUUAUGUACUCUUCUUGCAUUAUGUUACUGUUUUUUAAAUUUCCUUUAAAAAACAAACAAACAAACAGAAUUCUAGGGUGUUUCUACAUGUAGAUGACAUACAUGUUCUUGCUAUUCUUUUCUAGUACACACACAUUUUAACUGUAUUUCAGCUUACUUUUAGCG